UGUGCCAUCUUGUAAUGACGUUUGUGGC
rnacentral:piRNA from 1 species